AUACGUAGGUGGCGAGCGUUGUCCGGAAUUACUGGGCGUAAAGGAUGCGUAGGUGGAUAUUUAAGUGGGAUGUGAAAUCCCCGGGCUCAACCCGGGAACUGCAUUCCAAACUGGGUAUCUAGAGUGCAGGAGAGGAAAGCGGAAUUCCUAGUGUAGCGGUGAAAUGCGUAGAUAUUAGGAGGAACACCAGUGGCGAAGGCGGCUUUCUGGACUGUAACUGACACUGAGGCAUGAAAGCGUGGGUAGCAAACAGGAUUAGAUACCCUGGUAGUCCACGCCGUAAACGAUGGGUACUAGGUGUAGGAGGUAUCGACCCCUUCUGUGCCGUCGUUAACACAAUAAGUACCCCGCCUGGGGAGUACGGUCGCAAGACUAAAACUCAAAUGAAUUGACGGGG
rnacentral:rRNA from 1 species